rfam:Picea glauca, whole genome shotgun sequence.
UAUUGUGUACAUGCCUACAACAUAACGUUAAUGCACUAGGUCCCAUUAGAAUGUUAUAUUAAGUGUGCUCGGCAUAGAGUAGUAUUGGGAUGGGUGACCACCUGGGAAGUCUUAGUAUUUUACAU